GGCGCGCCGCCGCCGCCGCAGAGCCUCGCCCGGCGCGUCGCAGCAGUGCAGCGGAAGGGAACGGAGCGGGCGGGCAUGGAGGCAGCGGAGAAGGAGUGCGGGGCGCUGGGCGGCCUUUUCCAGGCCAUCGUCAACGACAUGAAGAGCUCCUACCCUGUCUGGGAAGAUUUCAACUCGAAAGCCACGAAGCUCCACUCCCAGCUGCGGACCACCAUACUGGCUGCAGUGGCUUUCCUGGAGGCCUUCCAGAGAGUGGCAGACAUGGCCACCAACACCAGAGG